AUUCGAGCUAUCCGUACGAGGCUUCUUCGGCGUAUGCCGCGUGAUUAGCGUAUGGACGAGAACGCGUUGAGACUCACCGAGCUUGCGCCAUGAAAAGACUUACUGUUGCACGAUCGCGGCUGCUACAGCGCAACGCAGGAAUGUGCGCUUGCGAGCGUGCACGUCCGCGAACGCUGAGCGUAGCACGCGCUGGCACCUAAGGCCUCAGUUUUCGAGAACGCUCGCUCAGCGGAAACAGAUAUGCUUUUCUGCGGCCGUCACUGUACCUUGGGCUUGCUCUGGAAAAACGGUUACGAUGCCGCAACCGCAUGCCACGAGCGCAGAGCAAGUUGGCACGAGCGUGAGCAGCGCGGGAUCACCGACGCCCACCAGUAAACUACGUGUUGUCGUCACCGAUGCACUGAUCACACCACGUUCCGCAGUUAGCUCGAGCCGUAACUCGUGACAGCGGAGCCAACGGUCAGUAGACCACGUCCACAGCUCCGCGUAUAGAUGAAAGAGCUCGUCAGCAGCGUGAACUAGCUGAACGCGACGGAGCUGCACGCCCACGAGUGCGCCGCUAUGACGUCCGAUGCGCUCACUACUCCAAUGGCAAGCCUGGUUCGCCAGAUUGCAUAGAUGAAACCGGAAGUGCUGAUCAUCGCCACCGGCAACCAAGAGUAACCAGUCAUGAGACUGGAGUCGGAACCAGUGGCCGUCCACUGCGUUCACCGCUGCGGCAAGGAAAGCCGACUGCUCCCAGCACGGUUCGAACGUCGCUGGAUCCGCGAGUGGAGCGUUCCCAGCGUCGAGCGUGCCGCGUCUCGCUCUGAGUUCAGCUGUGUGCCAGUCAUGCGGCCAGACGUAUAGUGCAACACUGCCACCAGUGUCGCCGGCGAAAACGUACGCCGUACCUCGGAUGCUACAGAGCGCUCGCGGGUAGGCGUAGGCUUGGCGUGGACGCACGGCUACCAGCGUCAUCGUCGUGUACCAGUUUCGAUCGGGGGAGCGUUGCUCAAACCGCUCUGUUUUGGCCCUAAUGCCCGCAGGAUGCCUGGCGUCGACAUGCGGCUGGACCUGCAGUCGGUAAAGCGAGAGCGUACCAUCGCUACGACCACAAAGCAACCAAGCCGUGAGCAGCUUGGGCUCGGUACGCUGCUCCGCAACUGCCAGUGUCGUCUGCGUCGCGUCCAGAUGAGCGCCGUGCUGUCUAUCGGUAGAAGACGCAGCUCCGAGCACCACAGCAGUCACGCGCGCUAACGACUCAUCACUCGGUCGACAUAGACUCGCGGCAAACGGUGCUCGACUGCGGGAGCGAAUAUACCGUGCAAGAUGAUUCAGGCCAGCAGCGGAAACCCGCCAGAUGGCGAGGGUAUCGCUACCACCACCACUGACCAGCAGAUACGCUUCAGCGUCCUGUACUGCGUCCAUGGGAGUAGCAAGCGCUGCUCGGUCAGCUUCGAAAUGGGGCCAAGGCAAUGCGGCCAGCGUCAGUACCCCCGAAAAGUGGACCGCACUCCCUGAAGCGACGCGUUCCCAACUCGCUGCGGAGAACAGGCCUCCUUUGCUGAGACGCUGCACCUGCCACUGAUAGAGAUCCAGAUUGGUAUCCUCGGAGGCGGUUGCUAUCCAGUACAUGAGAGUUUCCCCUGCAUGAGAGGCAUAUUCCCGGGUCGCUCGUGAGUGUUGCGGUACACCCGCGACCUGUUCUCGUUGUUGUUGUGGCUGCUGCUGCUGCUGCUGCUGCUGCUGCCUUUGUUCCUUUUGUUCCAGUCGCUUUUGCCAAUGCUGCGAUACCCGACUACCAGUUUCAGGUUCAAGCAUCCGAGCAUCCACAUCGAGAGCGCACUGGCCGGACACCCGCAACACCACGAGGCCUUGGAUGCGCAUGCCGCUUCCUUGGAGACGUAGCCGCUGCGGCAGAUACCAAUAACAACGACAACAACCACCAUCAGGUGACUGGAGGAUGCGCUCGUACAGGUAAACGCUGCCCGC